rnacentral:tRNA from 1 species
GCGGAAGUGCUGGAAUUGGCAGACAGGCAAGACUAAGGAUCUUGUGUCUGUAUAGACGUGUGGGUUCAAGUCCCAUCUUCCGCACGA